GGCGGGGCAAAUGGAGCAGUUUUCUACAGUCGAGUAAAAUUCCAGGAAAGAGCUGGGUGUGGCUUUCCUUUAAAUCACAUGAUCAACAGCUUUAAGAUGGAGGCAACUCGCUCAGUGUUUCCUGUUUCAUUCUUAGACUGUGGCGAUGGCCGACCAAGAGCAAAAUAGAAGACAACAAUUUCUCAAAGGAGGUUCAAAACUAAUGCCUACAAGAUUACCAAGAGGAUGGUUCGGGGCUCUUACAUGACUCCGGGAAGUCAACACUUGGUGGAUGAGAUCCUUCACAGCAUGUUGUUUCUGGGCAAAAUCAACAACAUCCCCUUUUCUCCAGAAGAAAUCUUCCCUAAUCCUU